GAUGAACGCUGGCGGCGUGCCUAAUACAUGCAAGUCGAGCGAACAGACGAGGAGCUUGCUCCUCUGACGUUAGCGGCGGACGGGUGAGUAACACGUGGAUAACCUACCUAUAAGACUGGGAUAACUUCGGGAAACCGGAGCUAAUACCGGAUAAUAUAAUGAACCGCAUGGUUCAAUAGUGAAAGACGGUUUUGCUGUCACUUAUAGAUGGAUCCGCGCCGCAUUAGCUAGUUGGUAAGGUAACGGCUUACCAAGGCGACGAUGCGUAGCCGACCUGAGAGGGUGAUCGGCCACACUGGAACUGAGACACGGUCCAGACUCCUACGGGAGGCAGCAGUAGGGAAUCUUCGGCAAUGGGCGAAAGCCUGACGGAGCAACGCCGCGUGAGUGAUGAAGGUCUUCGGAUCGUAAAGCUCUGUUAUUAGGGAAGAACAAAUGUGUAAGUAACUAUGCACGUCUUGACGGUACCUAAUCAGAAAGCCACGGCUAACUACGUG
rnacentral:rRNA from 1 species